UUAGGAAUCUUGCGCAAUGGGCGAAAGCCUGACGCAGCAACGCCGCGUGGGGGAUGAAUGCCCUCGGGUUGUAAACCCCCUUCAGCAGGGACGAAAGUGACGGUACCUGCAGAAGAAGCCCCGGCCAACUACGUGCCAGCAGCCGCGGUAAUACGUAGGGGGCAAGCGUUGUCCGGAUUCAUUGGGCGUAAAGGGCGAGUAGGUGGUUAUGCAAGUCGGAUGUGAAAACUCCAGGCUCAACCUGGAGACGCCACCCGAUACUGCAUUGACUAGAGUUCGGUAGGGGAUCACGGAAUACCUGGUGUAGCGGUGAAAUGCGCAGAUAUCAGGUGGAACACCGGUGGCGAAGGCGGUGAUCUGGGCCGACACUGACACUGAAUCGCGAAAGCGUGGGGAGCGAACAG
rnacentral:rRNA from 1 species